AUGAUUCAAAAACUAAAGACUCCUUACCUUGCUUACCUUUGAGCAUGUGUGGAAUAAUUUCACCUUCAACCUUACAUUUUUCAAUCAAAUGGAAUCGUCUCUCAUCGGGAAGGUUCAGUUGAACCUUUUCAUUUGAAUUUUCAAAAUCCUGAAAAGAAGAAAUAAUACAAGAACAACUUGCAUGUUGGUUAGCAGAAACAUUACUCACUUUUUCUUGCUCACUUUCACAUUUUUCCACUCAUUUCUUU
rnacentral:lncRNA from 1 species